rnacentral:rRNA from 1 species
UACGAAGGGGGCUAGCGUUGCUCGGAAUUACUGGGCGUAAAGGGAGCGUAGGCGGACAGUUUAGUCAGAGGUGAAAGCCCAGGGCUCAACCUUGGAAUUGCCUUUGAUACUGAUUGUCUUGAGUAUGGGAGAGGUUAGCGGAACUCCGAGUGUAGAGGUGAAAUUCGUAGAUAUUCGGAAGAACACCAGUGGCGAAGGCGGCUAACUGGCCCAUUACUGACGCUGAGGCUCGAAAGCGUGGGGAGCAAACAGG